rnacentral:rRNA from 1 species
CACCGCCCGUCACACCACGGGAGUUGGAGACGCCCGAAGCCGAUUAUCUAACCUUUUGGAAGAAGUCGUCGAAGGUGGAAUCAAUAACUGGGGUGAAGUCGUAACAAGGUAGCCGUAUCGGAAGGUGUGGCUGGAUCACCUCCUUUCUAAGGAGA